GUAGAGACAAUUCCCUUCACCCGUCCUUGUAUUUUCUCCACACUUCUCCCUCUCCUUGCAUCAUCAUCAACGACCUUUUCCUUUCUUCUACAUUCUGGAGAGUUUCUCUAGCCUGUUCUCCAUCCCGUGACUUGAUGAUCACCUAUUGAUUCUGCCCUUUCCUGCAUGAAACCCGGAUUUCGAUUUUGUCAGCACAUUUCUGUUUCCUUACGGUUCUUCUGGAUCCCAUUUGCAUUUACUUGUAUCUCACUCUGUUGGUGUGAGUCUCAUCCCUCUUAGAGCUUGGUAUACCAGUUUCAUGGAAAUCGUUUCUUGGUGGAUGCUCUUCAGGGCCCCCAAGAGUUCCCUAGAGUGGUUAUCUCCUUCUUGGGGAUUGUGUUUUCAAAGUCCUGCUCAUCCUUUGCCUCCUCAGGGUGUUGCUCUCUUUCCCUUCUCAGUAGGUUGUGGUCACCUGCAAUGUUGGCUUUUCCCCCGUUUCUUGAGAAAGCUCUCUCCAGACACAAGGAGGUGUUGAAUAUCUCUGUCCAGCUCUCUCUUCGCCAGCACACAGGUCUCAAAUGCCAUUCGCAGUCCAAGCGAGUGGCACAUUGGCGUGCUCGGUUUCAGUCUGGCACACGCUAAGUCACAACUCUAGCUGACUUUUAUCUUUAAGGGCUCCGGUGCAUCCAGAUGGGGGCACCGUCUCCUCCCUCUGAGUUCUGUUUCCUGGUCUGCGUGUUUACAGGGUUCUUCUUGUCUCCACAUCCUUCCCCCACACCACUAGGAGCUUCAUGUGAACAGACAGACACCGAGUUCUAGGGCUGGGAGUCAUAGGUGAAGGUUCUAGAAGCUCUUGUGAGCCUCUUUCUGUUUACCAUUCCCAAGCAGAUGAUGCUACAUUGCCUCGCCAUGCCUUUGCUUGUGCCGUGACCGCUGCCUGGAAUGCCUCUGUUGUGCUUGCCCAUUGCACAGUGUACCCGGUGAAAUCCUGCUUAUCUUUGAAGCUCCACUUAAAUGUUGUCAUCUUCCCUCUGCGAACUUUGCUCCUAUGUCCUCAUUCCUGCUCUGUGUACCCAUGGCAUGUGCACAGGUUUUAUAGAGCUUAUUUUAUUGUCUAUCUUAUUUUAUUUUAUUUUUUAAAAGUAACGUCUACACCAAGUGUGGGGCUCGAACUCACAACCUUCAAAUCAAGAGUCGCAUCCUCUAUCAGCUGAACCCGCCAGGCACCCCCUUCGUUGCCAUUUAUUGCUGUGAAAAACGGAAGACAACCUAAGACCUAGUGAGAGUGAGCGUUUCCUGACAGCUGACAAGAGAACGGAAACCUCAGUCCUACGACUGUAAGAAACUGCUUUCCAUGAACAACCUGGAUGAACCUGGAAGAAGAUACCAAACCAAGCUGCGGCUGACCCCCUGGCUGCAGCCUCGUGAGCCCCCUGAGCAUGGAACUCAACAAGGCUCGAUUCAGAUUUCAGAGCCCUGGAAGCUGCGUGAUAAUAAAUCUACGUCGUUUUAUGUU